rnacentral:rRNA from 1 species
UACGUAGGGCGCAAGCGUUGUCCGGAAUUAUUGGGCGUAAAGAGCUCGUAGGUGGUUUGUCGCGUCUGUUGUGAAAGCCCGGGGCUUAACUCCGGGUUUGCAGUGGAUACGGGCAGGCUGGAGGCAGGUAGGGGAGAACGGAAUUCCCGGUGUAGCGGUGAAAUGCGCAGAGAUCGGGAGGAACACCCGUAGCGAAGGCGGCGCUCUGGGCCGGUACUGACGCUGAGGAGCGAAAGCGUGGGGAGCAAACAGG